rnacentral:rRNA from 1 species
AACGAACGCUGGCGGCAUGCCUAACACAUGCAAGUUGAACGAAGGCUUCGGCCUUAGUGGCGCACGGGUGCGUAACGCGUGGGAAUCUGCCCUUUGGUUCGGAAUAACAGCUGGAAACGGCUGCUAAUACCGGAUGAUGACGAAAGUCCAAAGAUUUAUCGCCAGAGGAUGAGCCCGCGUUGGAUUAGGUAGUUGGUGGGGUAAAGGCCUACCAAGCCGACGAUCCAUAGCUGGUCUGAGAGGAUGAUCAGCCACACUGGGACUGAGACACGGCCCAGACUCCUACGGGAGGCAGCAGUGGGGAAUAUUGGACAAUGGGCGCAAGCCUGAUCCAGCAAUGCCGCGUGAGUGAUGAAGGCCCUAGGGUUGUAAAGCUCUUUUACCCGGGAAGAUAAUGACUGUACCGGGAGAAUAAGCCCCGGCUAACUCCGUG